rnacentral:tRNA from 1 species
GCCGCUGUAGCUCAGCCUGGUUAGAGCGCUACGCUCAUAACGUAGAGCAGUAAAGAAAUUUCUUGCUGUGCGGGAAGGUCCGGGGUUCAGAUCCCCGCAGCGGCA